CCCGGCGCUGUAUCCAGGUAAGUAAAAUCCAUUCCCUGUAGUGACCCUUUAAAGUUAUUAUUUAAUCAUUUAUAUAGCGACUGCAAAUUCCGUACUGCUGUAUAAUGGGAUAAACAACUCCUAGUUUACGGAAUAAGAAUAUACCCGGCGAGUAAAAAUGCUACCCCCCCAGAUUUUUUUGGGUUCCUACGCCCAUGAUUUAGAUGUGUUCCUUAUGUGUUUAGAUUGAGGGCACCCCUUUGUUUACAAAUUUAGUUUAAAAAAACAAAACAAUUAAUUUACCUGUAAUCUAACUCCAGAAUAGUCUACAUUCUGCAGUUGAUUCACCUUCUGUGAGAUCAUCAGUCAUUAUUAUUAUUGGCAUUUAUAUAGUUCCAACUUAUUUAAGCAGCGCUUUACAAUAUUAUUAAGUGGGAAAAUAAAGAACAAACUAUUACAUAUUUGGACAAGAAAAAUAAAUGGUUACUUGAUGAUCUCUCUAUCAAAUUCCAUGCUUCACAAAGAGAAGACUUUGGGACAUAGAGUGCAUGCAUGGCAAUUGCUGGGCUCCAGAAAUUGAAUGCUUCUCAUAUUGGGAAGUAUUAGGACCGUUACGUCUCAACAUGCUGUGCGUCAUUACACUGAACAUGAAAACCUUCAAAAAUCAAGGAACCCCUGUAAAAAUAUAGGGAGGCUUGGGAAUAGGAUGAUGUCAGGAUUACUAUUUGAUCCAGCACAUAGAAUUAAAUCACAGCAAGGACUAAUAGGUAACAUCUUACUAGGCCUUAGAAUGGCCUGACUAAACGUACCAGAGAAUAGUCAGAAUACUAGCCGAGGUCGGCAGUACAGAAAGAGACACUAGAAUUAGGGAAAGCCAGAAGUCAGGGCUACCAGAAUACAGGGAAGUCAAUACGAAGCCAAAGUCAAUAACCAGAAGAAAACGCUCAGAAACACACUCUCGGACAACCACUAGGGCAAUGAUGAAAAGGCAUAAGGAGUUUAAAUAAGCCUAUUUCAGCUCUGAUUGACCGAAAAUCGGCCUUUGACCCCAGAACGUGUGCGCGCGCGUCUCCCUCGUGACGUUACGCGCACGGUGAUGUCGUUAUCAACAUGGGCAGCUGUAGGGCUAUAAUUUGGCAUGGAUCCACAGUGGCCGGCGUCCAUCAGCAUGUUGCAGGGGUCAGGUAUACAGACACACGGCCACUGGGUGCAAAUGCCACAAAGUGAGGCUGAAGAAGUUACAGAUGGUUAUUAGGUUGCGC